rnacentral:rRNA from 1 species
GACGUAGGGGGCGAGCGUUGUCCGAAGUUACUGGGCGUAAAGCGCGCGUAGGCGGUCUCUUAAGUCCGGGGUGAAAGGUUCAGCGCUCAACGUGAACAGUGCCCUGGAGACUGGGGGACUUGAGUGUGGGAGGGGGCAGUGGAAUUCCGGGUGUAGCGGUGAAAUGCGUAGAUAUCCGGAGGAACACCGAUGGCGAAGGCAGCUGCCUGGCCUGACACUGACGCUGAGGUGCGAAAGCGUGGGGAGCGAACGGG